GUGGGGAAUAUUGCGCAAUGGGGGAAACCCUGACGCAGCAAUACCGCGUGAGUGAAGAAGGUUUUCGGAUCGUAAAACUCUUUUAUUGGGGAAGAAGAAGUGACGGUACCCAAUGAAGAAGUCCCGGCUAACUACGUGCCAGCAGCCGCGGUAAUACGUAGGGGACAAGCGUUGUCCGGAAUCACUGGGCGUAAAGGGCGCGUAGGCGGUUUUAUAAGUCAGAUGUGAAAGGUACCGACUCAACCGGUGACGUGCAUUUGAAACUGUAAGACUUGAGUACUGGAGAGGCAAGUGGAAUUCCUAGUGUAGCGGUGAAAUGCGUAGAUAUUAGGAGGAACACCGGUGGCGAAGGCGGCUUGCUGGACAGAUACUGACGCUGAGGUGCGAAAGCGUGGGGAGCGAACAGGAUUAGAAACCCUAGUAGUCC
rnacentral:rRNA from 1 species